rnacentral:tRNA from 1 species
GCGGAGAUGGCUCAGUGGUUAAGAGCACUGGCCGCUCUUCUAGGGAUCCUGGGUUCAAUUCCCAGCACCCACA